ensembl:lncRNA
GUUGUUGCAGACAAUAUAACAAUGGCCAAGGGAGAGGACUCUCACACGGAAAUUGCCCGCGUUCGCCAGAAGGACGGCAUCAACGUGAUCUUUGACCGCAGCAGCGCUGACGCUUCGCGCUCCCGUUCACGAUCCAAAAGCAGCAGACGCUCCAGCGGCUCCGGUCGCCACAGGGGGCGCAGCAACCGCCGGCAUCGCCGGUGUUCGUCGUCUUCAUCCAGCAGCAGGCACUCUCGUCACCGACGCAACAGGUCCCGCUCCAGCAGGUCCGGCCGGGCAGUUAGCCGGUUCUCCCAGUCCCCGCCCAGAAACCACAGGAGCAGCUCUGGAUCCGAAUAUUCCGAAAAUUCCGUUGACCUGAGUAUUGAUGAUAAAGGAAACCCCAUCAUGUCUGCCAAUGCUUCCAUAAUCCAAGAGGACGAGAAACUCUACAGUCCUGAGAUCGUGGAAUCAAUCCAGUCGGCUCAGGCAGUGGAGUCCAAUCAAGUGUUGCGAGAGACAUGGGUGAGACAAGACCUGGAAAAGACUCCGUCACAGAAGUUUCCCCCCCCAUCUAAGACUACAUGUAAAUACAAGAUAACAUGACAGUGGUCUCCUUCACUCAUCGGCACCUGGGAUUAAAGGGCUGUCAUGUGACUUAGGUGACAACAAUACGUGUUUGCGUGAAAGUUUACCUGAUAACCCCUUGCAAUGUUCAGAAAGUCUUAAGUUAACCCAACACAUAUGCUGAUUAUUAGACAUAGUGCU